UCUUGGCCAGGCUCAUGUCUCAUGCCCAAGAACAUGAAGGACACGGACCAGGAGGAAUGCGUUUAGGAGGUUUUUUUAAGCGAUAGGAAAGCUCCCUGCAACAGGAAGGGAGCCCAAACAGGUUGCAGAGCUGUGAAAGCAAACCGCGCCGCUGCAGCCACGGGCCGAGGUAUCCACAUGCCGAGUGCCAGUUCGAUCCCUGCCGGCCGGCGAGAAUCCCAUAUGGCUCAGCAGACAUCUCCGGUCUCACCCGCUCCUCCCCUCAGCAGUGUAUUUCAUCAGUCUGCCUGUUCUGUUCCCUGCUGUGUCUCUGGUGAAUCCUCUUACCCUCUCGUGCAUCUGGCCUGUA